rnacentral:rRNA from 1 species
UACGUAGGUGCCAAGCGUUGUCCGGAUUUACUGGGCGUAAAGAGCGCGCAGGCGGUCGAUCAAGUCGAGUGUGAAAGCCCCCGGCUCAACUGGGGAGGGUCAUUCGAUACUGAUCGACUCGAAGGCAGGAGAGGGUAGUGGAAUUCCCGGUGUAGUGGUGAAAUGCGUAGAUAUCGGGAGGAACACCAGUGGCGAAGGCGACUACCUGGCCUGUUCUUGACGCUGAGGCGCGAAAGCUAGGGAAGCAAACGGG